AUCUCUGGUUGGAGAUCCCUUCUUUGUGGAGUUUUUUCCCUGUGAGCCUAGAUCUUCAGAUAUGGUCCAGGUAUAAAAGGACAAAGACGUAUCUUCACAACCAAGGUCUAGCAAGACAAGGGUGAACCACUUCAGUGUUACUGAGGCAGAUGCUUCUUUGGGGGAGAAACUGAGUGGUUACCAAUUGGAAAAAAAAAAAAAGCAGAGAAAACCAGACUGAACCUCCAUUUGGAGUUCUCCUCUGAGGUGUUGGGGCAGCUGUUUGUUUCCUUGCUUAACGUGACAGAAAACAUCCAAAAAGACCACUGUGGAGUACAAUCUCGAGUCUUCUGACACUUCAGAAAAAAACUCCUCCAGCAUCCAGCCAGAUGUCAAUAACUGCACAGAAGUCUCUGGAAAGGGAGUACAGAGCCUAAGGGGAGAAACACAACUGUUGUUCCUGGGAAAGUUCACUCCAGUGUGAAAGCUUAUGUUUAAAUCAAUUCCAAACAUGUUUUUGAAGAGUCAUUUGCACCCCAGUGAUUUGGGAAGAGGUUCAGUGUUUGGUACCUAAUAAAGAUAGCUGGCACUGGUAAGGAUGUUAUUUUAAUUAUAACAACAUGGUGAUGGCAUUUUCAGGAAAGGAUCCCACAGAGUUCUCACUGCAGACAUUUCUCUACUCGCAGCAUUUAAACAGCUGCCAAAGGGUUUCCAUUAAUAGGUUAUUUGGAUACAGUGUUUGCAGGCUUAUGCUGCGCUAUCACUGCCUCACAGCCCUUUUUUCACUUUCCUGACUUUCUUGGAAAGAUGAGCCAAAUAGAUUUGGCCAGAGCCAGUGCCUCAGAUUAGAAGGCAAGAAGGCAAGCAGCGAGAAGCAGCGGUAUUGCAGAGAGCGAGGUGAGAAACACAGCCCUCGAUAUCACCAGCCGCUGUAAUCCCGCUCCGUAUGCAGAGAGCAUUUGCAGGACGGCUUUUGGUGUCUGCUCAUGAGAGCUGGCUGCUGCGGUAAAGCCCUCCUGAAGUCUGUAAUGUGACCGUACCCUGGGACUGAGAAACUGGCUCCCAUCCCUAUGUGAGCUAACGGCCCAUCAUUUUUGGAAAUCUGGGCACUUAUGACUUGCUGUCAUUCAUUGUGCUGGUGUAACUAAUUGCUCGUGACCUUGCUGACACUUAAAGCAGCUGAGAUCUUGCUCAAGGGAUCAGUGCUGGGGCUCAGCAUUCCUCUGUGCUGAAUGGUGCGCAGUGCGAGCAGGCCUCGUCUCACACCUGUUGUGUACACGGGGAGGAAUCCUGCACUCAGAUCAGGGAUCAGGCCCAGCUACUGGUGCUUGCAAAAUCACUUCUGAGGACGUGCAGCUCUCAUCGUGCUUCUACAGCACAGCCUGGAUAAGAGAAGAACUCAGGGAAUACCUUGGGCUUGUCAGAGCUUGCAGCUAUCCUCGGCUCCGUUCAGCUAUGCAUUCACAUUGCUCAGAAGAUUUUGCAAAUGUAUUACCAUCCCCGCCAGAUUGUAGUGCUCUGUUAUAUAUAUUAGUCUCUAACCAACAAAUCUAUAUGUGAAAAAACCUGAAAAUAACUCUGUGUAAAUCAUCAUCAAUUCUUUUAUUAUUCAUUAAAAUAACAUUAAU
ensembl:lncRNA